ensembl:piRNA 21ur-3487 ncRNA
UACGUUUUCAAUGCUGAGCCC